rnacentral:rRNA from 1 species
GGCCCAGCCCAGAGGGAAAGAGCACUACUCAUCAGAUAAUACCGCAUCCGACCUGAGGUUGAAAUCGGGGGAUCGCACGAUCUCGCCCCAUUCGAGCGGCCCAUCUGAUAUUAGGUAGUUGGUGAGGUGGGGCUCACCUUACCGACGAUCUGUAGCUGGUCUGAGAGGACGACCAGCCACACUGGGACUGAGACACGGCCCAGACUCCUAUCCUAGGCAGCAGUGGGGAAUUUUGGACAAUGGGCGCAAGCCUGAUCCAGCCAUGCCGCGUGCGGGAAGAAGGCCUUCGGGUCGUAAACCGCUUUUGUUUUGGAAGAAAAGGUUCUGGUUAAUACCUGGGACUCAUGACGGUACCUGAAGAAUAAGCACCGGCUAACUACGUGCCAUCAGCCGCGCUAAUACGUAGGGUGCAAGCGUUAAUCGGAUUUACUGGGCUUAAAGCGUGCCCAGGCGGUUAUGCAAGACAAAAAGUGAAAUCCCCUCGCUCGCCUGGCAACUGCCUUUGUGACUGCAUGGCUAGAGUACGGUAGAGGGGAAUGGAAUUCCGCGUGUAGUGUGAAAUGCAUUGAUAUGCUAAGCAACACCGAUGGCGAAGGCAAUCCCAUGCACCUGUCCUGCCCUCAUGCUCAUGCACCGUGGCGAGCGGAGCGGAUUAGAUACCCUGCUCUGCCAGGCCCUACCCUAAGUCAACUGAUUGUUGUGAUGGUUUCUUCUUGUUACGUAACUAACGCUACAAGUGAACUUCAUGGGCAGUACGAGCGCGACGGUUGAGACUGAAA